CUGUUGCGUGCUUCUUAAUGUUCAAUAGGCUAUUUUGCCAUUCUCCUAUUUCUUUUUCUUUCUUCUCUAGCGAGGCCAUUAACUGACAAAUUUUAGAGUUUUCUUUUUCUUCGAGCUCGUUGAGUUGUUUCAUUAAAUCUUCUUGUAGUUUGUCGAGAUGGUUGUUGAUUUGUAUUCUGGACUUCUUGAUUUCUUUUUCAAUU
rnacentral:lncRNA from 1 species